AAAUUGGGAAGUGUCCUUUGGAGAAGCAAGGGGCUGGGGCAGAGUGGGAAUCAGAGGAAAAGGAAACCUCUCAAGACACAAGCCUCACCCAAGCUCCUGCUCACAUGUAACAAGGAAGCCAAAAGACACCAAGGUCACACAAGCUAGUGAAGUCAGUCAGACCAGGUAUGGCCUCCUAGAGUCAGCUCCUGGAUCUAUGAAUUCUAGUAAGUGUGCCAUAUUCUCUUCAGAUGCCCUGCAAGUCUUGUUUCCCUUUACAUGGAGUCUGAAGGAUCUUCCAGAAGUCCCUCUCUCUGCCUGCUUGUUCUGCAUGCUCUCCUAGGUGCCCAGGAAUCAUUCACAAGGUCACCUGCCCUUUAACUGUCAUCCAUGUCCCUUUCUUUUUUGUCAUUCUCCCUGCAAAAUCCUUUUUCUAGUCUCUGGGGGUGUGCGUCCUUCUUUUUGUUAAUUUUGCUGUUUUCUGUAAACAUUUUUUAUUUUUCAUAUUUGGAUUUAAAAAAAUCAAAAGAUAGGCUCUUUAAAGCAUGUAAGGUAGUAGGGGUGGGAUUGUGGGAGAAGUGAAAAGAUAGGAAAUAUCAAAAGAGAAAAAUAAACUACAUGAAAAUCUUGUAAUAGUCUUCAGAAUUGCUUCUGAUUAAAGCUAAUGGAAUAAGCGUUCUUAGGGUUUGGAUCUGAAGCAGCUGUGAGGGUUAAUGUGUUGAUGGCUUGAUCCCUGAAUGCUUCAGUGGUCAGAGGUGACUGCAUCAUGGGGCUCUAACCUUACCAACAGAUUAAUCUGGUGAUACAUUCAUAAUUGAGAGGACUGUUGGGUAGUGGUAGAAACUGAACUACGUAGAGCCUUGUUGGAGCAAGUAGCUCACUGAGGCCAUGCCCUGGGUGUGCCUUGUCUCUUCUGGCUCUCGCCUCUCUCUUUUCCUUCUGGCUGCCAUCAGGAGAGCAGGUCUACUCUCUACCACACUGCCGCUACCAUGAUAUCCUGCCUUACCACAGACCCAUAAAUAAUGGAACAUGUGCUGAGACCUCUGAGACUGUGAGUGAAAAUCAAUCUUUCUUCCUUCAAGUUGUUUUCUUAGGUAUUUUGUCGAAGGAUGGAGAGUUGACUAAUGAAGCCCCCAUGUUGGCUGUGUUUCUGAGUAGCUCCGUAAGAUACUAUGUGAACAUUUCCAGCCGAACACUAGCAAUGCUUUAUUCUUCUAUCUGGCAUCUUUUACCCCCUGGUAUGUUGACUGUCACCUUGUCAUUAAUGCUAAUGUUGCUUUAACCAUUCUUCCUCUCUGCCACAGGACCAAGGUAGGAAAGUUGGUUUGUUUUUUUUCCUAAAACCAGGGAAGCUAUGGAAGCAUAAGGACAUUAAUUCUAUCCCUUGAGUCUAUGUAAAAACUUGGGCAUGGCACAUCUGUCACUCUAGUGAUGGAUAGGCAGAGCCAAGAGAAUUUUCCAGACUUGCUAUCAGUCUAGUGUAGGUGAUCAGUGAGCUCCAGAUUAAGUGCAAUCUGUUUCUUUAAGUCUGUUUUCUUUAAACUCUUAAGAUUAUCUACACAACAGAAGUGUCUUGGUCUAGCCCUAAGCCUAGGCUUCAAAUUCUACACACUUCUGUUCUUUCUUGUUAAUUUGCAUUCAUUAGAAUAGCAGUUCUCAACCUGUGAGUCUCCACUCCUUUGGGGUCAAACGACCCCUUCACAGGCAUCACGUAUCAGAUAACCUGCCUAAUAGAUAUUCACAUUAUGAGUCAUAACAGUAGCAAAAUUACAAUUAUGAGGUAGCAACAAAACAAUUUUAUGGUUGGGGGUUACUACAGCAUGAGGAACAUGGGAAAGGGUUGCAGCACUAGGAAAGUAGAGAACCACUGCUUUAGAAGAUGCAGGAGCUCGGCUACUGGAGGGUAAGACAAGAGAGCAGAGUCAUUCUUCCCUGCCUAGCUCAUCCUAGAUCAACCAACAGCCAGCCGGCCAAUAGAUGAGUCCCACCUGCGACAAGAGUACCACCAGAAUCAACAAACCACUCUACUGCUCUCCAAGCUUGAAGUUAAUGCUUAUGCUGAGUUACUGAACUCGGUAAUGGUUUGUUACACAGCAUGAUUGUAGCAACAAGCAAGUGCUCGGCUAUGGUUUGAAUGUGUCUCCCAGCAUUUGUACUAAGCUUAAUCUCCACAUUCAUAUUUAAUGGUAUUUUGAGGAGGGAGCCUGAGGUGGAGGUUUUUCCCUCUUAAAUUGUGCUACGGCUUGGGUCAGAAGUCCCCAGGGGUUCAGUGUAGCUGAAGGCUUGGUCCUUAGGGGAUGCUGUUGAGAAGCAGGGCUCAGUGGGAAGUGUUGAAGUCACUAAGAGCAUAAGGGCUGUCUUCUGGGAACCUUCUUACAGCUCCCACACGGCCCUUUUGGUAGUUCUUGAGUGUCACUAUAGAAGGAGCGAGUCUUUUAUAAAAGGAGCAAGCUCUUCUGGGCUCCUGGCCCAAGAUGUAGCCACUUUCUUGUCCUCACAUCAUGGCAUCCACCAGCAUUUGACACAGCUAAAACUUAAGAUGAUGUAGUGCCAUGACCUUGAAUCUCCUAAAGCUCUGAGCUAAAUAAACCUUUUAUUCAUAAGUAGCUGUGUCUGGUAUUUUGCUUUAGUAACAAAAAAAGUGAUUAAUCGUUGAGUUGCUUUCUUCCUGGAUGACUGGGUUAUGACAGGAACAGCAGGCUUUCUCUGUCUUGAAUGUUGUCUCACUAGGCAACAAGAAGGGCCUCAAGAGAUGCUGGUUCCAAGAACUUGGACUUCCCCAUCUGCAGAACUAUGAGAUAAGCAAACCUCUAUUCCUUAUAAAUUACCUGGUUGUAAGAGGUGCUUUUUCAAAAAUUAUAUUGGAUAAAGUGAAAAUCUAACACCAUCCAAAUUUAGUUUGUUUCGAUUUUCAUUUUUGGAUUUCUUUUUGGUUCCUUUUUUAGAGAGAAAGAAAGAGAGAGAGCACACAUGUGCACACUUGAGCAUGAAGUUGGGUGGGGAGCAAGUCUGUGACAGAGCAAUAUUGUUGAGUUUGAGCAGAAACAGCACUAUAGAUACCAGAAGCAUGGACCUUCGCUUACAUAAUAAGAAUGCAGCAAUACUAGCGGUGUGGAACUGGAUCACAGAGAAAUCCGAGAUGCAGGGGGAAGGAGGAGUAGACCCAGGUAACAUUGUCAGAUAUGGGUGCUAUGAAAGACUCAAGAUUGUUAUUACUUUAUCAGGCACUGCUGGACUCUAGGGAACUGGAGUAAUAAGGUAGGGGCUGGGCUUCUCUGAAGUCAGAGAUGAAAGCUAUAAGCUAUAUAUAUUUUUCCCCAUGAAAAGUUU